GUCGUCCUGAAGCGGGAGAUCCAGUCGGAGGUCAGGAUAGGUCACGACCCCUGUGAGGACGCGCUGGCCGCUCUUCAUCUGGCUCAGUACUUCAUCAGGAAGGGACCCAGAAAGGUGGUUGAGGAUCAUCUGGAGGAUAUGUGGGAUCUGGAGUGUCCUGAGGACGAUGACUCUGAUCACGUGAUCUCGUCCAAACGUCACAGCAA